CCUGACUGGAGAACAAACCACCAAUUAGCAGGCGACAAUUCGGGGCCGGAGAAUGGAAUCAAAAUAGAGGCCGCCUCUGAAAGCCUCUUCUUUAGCCUCCUCCUCCUCCUCCUCAUCGAUGAUCAUCAAACAAAUGUUUCUCGUGGUCGCUGCUGGUUCCAGUUAAUGUCCACUGGAAUAAGCAUUUUCAUCAACCUCUUCAGCAAUAGCUCCAAAUGGACUGGCUGUUGGGUUUCACAGGAAACCAGGUGUUAGCCAAAAGAUGGAGUUGAGUCCUUGCUGGGAGACUGCGGUUUUCAAGAUGAAGCCCUCAAACCUGGUGAUUCACAGACCUGUACCCCUGGGGAUAAAAAUAUAUGUUUAUAAGAGCCAUUAAAAAAAAUUAAUUCAAACAAUGA
rnacentral:lncRNA from 1 species